GACGAACGCUGGCGGCGUGCUUAACACAUGCAAGUCGAACGGAAAGGCCCUGCAUUUGUGGGGUGCUCGAGUGGCGAACGGGUGAGUAACACGUGAGUAACCUGCCCUUGACUUUGGGAUAACUUCAGGAAACUGGGGCUAAUACCGGAUAGGAGCUCCUGCUGCAUGGUGGGGGUUGGAAAGUUUCGGCGGUUGGGGAUGGACUCGCGGCUUAUCAGCUUGUUGGUGGGGUAGUGGCUUACCAAGGCUUUGACGGGUAGCCGGCCUGAGAGGGUGACCGGCCACAUUGGGACUGAGAUACGCCCCAGACUCCUACGGGAGGCAGCAGUGGGGAAUAUUGCCCAAUGGGCGGAAGCCUGAUGCAGCAACGCCGCGUGCGGGAUGACGGCCUUCGGGUUGUAAACCGCUUUCGCCUGUGACGAAGCGUGAGUGACGGUAAUGGGUAAAGAAGCACCGGCUAACUACGUG
rnacentral:rRNA from 1 species